UUUCCAUAGCUCAGUUGGUUGAGCAUGGUGCUGAUAACGCCAAGGUUGCAGAUUCAGUCCCUGCAUGGGACAG